GUUUUUUGCUCUAAUGCAUAUUUCCAAAUUUUUCUUGUGAUCUGUGCUAUCCAGUUUUCCUCUUCUUUUUUCGAGAUCUACCUCCUCUCUAAGCUUGCUCAUGGCAAGUAAAGAUUCCUUUGUCAGGGUUGAAGCCUUUACUGGGGGAGAAGCCCUUGAUGUAUUCCUAUCAUCAUCAACCAGUAAGUAGCGAUAGCCCUUCACAUGAUAAGCAUUCUCGCCGCCCCAUCCCUUUGAUAGUUUCUCUUCAACUUUCAAGAUCUUAAGUGAUGCAUUUUCAAGAACUUGCCGCUUUAACAGGGAAACACCUUGCUCCCCAUUAGAAAUGGAGGAAACAGGAAUUAGAAUGAUUAAGGUAAGGCCUCUAUACUGAUAAGCACAGAGAUAUACUUUUUCUUCAGUCUCUUGAAGCCAAAUUGUUGGGGUGGCAGAAAUCAUGCUAUCCAUUUCCCUUCCCCAAACAUCAGUGACAAGAAAACCAUCUUUCCCUUUAGACCACUUGUCAUGCCAUAAGGGUCUUUUAACAUUAUAACCGCUGUCUUGGCCAGGAGAAUUGCCAUGCGAAUGAUAAAGAUGUUCUGAAGCAGAGCCAUAAUGGGCCAAGGUAGAUGCUGCAGCUAUGUGAGACACGGUAUUUCCUUUGAGUAAAUAGGACCAGGAACUUACUCCAGAGGAUAGAGCACGAGGGGUCAACCUUAGAACAGAAUAUGCAAAUAAGUUUAUGGUGUCAUCUGCAGAAAUUGUUGUGGACACAAGCAAGUCCUGAAACAAAAUCAAUGAGUAACAAGGUGUUGUCCCAGCACAAGAUUCCAGUAUCCUCACAAGCAACUGAACUUCAAUUGCAGCCUCCCUCCCAACAGUCAGCAUCUGUACGGUUCUGCGCUUUGUUAAACAGUCACGAAAUGAAGGUAAGUGGAGUUUUUUCCCAACAAGAAAAUCACUUAGAUAAUCCAUGAUGAAAGGGUACAAAUGAGAGCGAACUAGUCCUCCAGUAGGUUCAUUCUCAAGCAUUGCUCUUAUAGAACCAUGAAACAUCAUGAAAAGAGAGUGAACUUCCUGAAGUACCUCUCUCAAUGCAUCAAUUCGCCAUGUGGCUUCCGACUCCACACUUUUCUCUACCAUCAUCACCA
rnacentral:misc_RNA from 1 species